ACACGGCCCAGACUCCUACGGGAGGCAGCAGUGGGGAAUUUUGGACAAUGGGCGAAAGCCUGAUCCAGCCAUGCCGCGUGCAGGAUGAAGGCCUUCGGGUUGUAAACUGCUUUUGUACGGAACGAAAAGACUCUGGUUAAUACCUGGGGUCCAUGACGGUACCGUAAGAAUAAGCACCGGCUAACUACGUGCCAGCAGCCGCGGUAAUACGUAGGGUGCAAGCGUUAAUCGGAAUUACUGGGCGUAAAGCGUGCGCAGGCGGUUAUAUAAGACAGAUGUGAAAUCCCCGGGCUCAACCUGGGAACUGCAUUUGUGACUGUAUAGCUAGAGUACGGCAGAGGGGGAUGGAAUUCCGCGUGUAGCAGUGAAAUGCGUAGAUAUGCGGAGGANACACCGAUGGCGAAGGCAAUCCCCUGGGCCUGUACUGACGCUCAUGCACGAAAGCGUGGGGAGCAAACAGGAUUAGAUACCCUGGUAGUCCACGCCGUAAACGAUGUCGACUUGGAGGUUGUGCCCUUGAGGCGUGGCUUCCGGAGCUAACGCGUUAAGUCGACCGCCUUGGGGAGUACGGCCGCAAGNGUUAAAACUCAAAUGAAUUGACGGGGGCCCGCACAAGCGGUGGAGCAUGUGGUUUAAUUCGAUGCAACGCGAAGAACCUUACCUGGUCUUGACAUCCAGAGAACUUUCCAGAGAUGGAUUGGUGCCUUCGGGAACUCUGAGACAGGUGCUGCAUGGCUGUCGUCAGCUCGUGUUGUGAAAUGUUGGGUUAAGUCCCGCAACGAGCGCAACCCUUAUCCUUUGUUACCAGCGGUCCGGCCGGGAACUCAAAGGAGACUGCCAGUGAUAAACUGGAGGAAGGUGGGGAUGACGUCAAGUCAUCAUGGCCCUUACGAGUAGGGCUACACACGUGCUACAAUGGCGCAUACAAAGAGAAGCGACCUCGCGAGAGCAAGCGGACCUCAUAAAGUGCGUCGUAGUCCGGAUUGGAGUCUGCAACUCGACUCCAUGAAGUCGGAAUCGCUAGUAAUCGUAGAUCAGAAUGCUACGGUGAAUACGUUCCCGGGCCUUGUACACACCGCCCGUCACACCAUGGGAGUGGGUUGCAAAGAAGUAGUAGCUUAACCCUUCGGGAGGGCGCUUACCACUUUGUGAUUCAUGACUGGGGUGAAGUCGUAACA
rnacentral:rRNA from 1 species